GACGAACGCUGGCGGCGUGCUUAACACAUGCAAGUCGAACGGAAAGGCCCUGCUUUUGCGGGGUGCUCGAGUGGCGAACGGGUGAGUAACACGUGAGUAACCUGCCCUUGACUUUGGGAUAACUUCAGGAAACUGGGGCUAAUACCGGAUAGGAGCUCCUGCUGCAUGGUGGGGGUUGGAAAGUUUCGGCGGUUGGGGAUGGACUCGCGGCUUAUCAGCUUGUUGGUGGGGUAGUGGCUUACCAAGGCUUUGACGGGUAGCCGGCCUGAGAGGGUGGCCGGCGACAUUGGGACUGCGGUACGGCCCAGUAUCCUACGGGAGGCAGCAGUGGGGAAUAUUGCACAAUGGGCGGAAGCCUGAUGCGGCAACGCCGCGUGCGGAAUGACGGCCUUCGGGUUGUAAACCGCCUUCGCCUGUGACGAAGCGUGAGUGACGGUAAUGGGUAAAGAAGCACCGGCUAACUACGUG
rnacentral:rRNA from 1 species